rnacentral:misc_RNA from 1 species
GUGAAUCAUCGAAUCUUUGAACGCAAAUUGCACUUUCUGGUAUUCCGGAGAGCAUGCCCGUUUCAGGGUCAGUAAAAUCAUCAUCGAUGUUGUUGCUGCUUUUCAUGGUGCCUCGUCGGAAUUUAGUUGUUUUACCUUCGGUUAAGUGACUUACAAUUUUGCAUGCUUUUCGUACGUAUUUAAAUUUCUUACGUACGUUUGAGAUAUCGAAUACUUUAUUAGGUUCGAUCAUCCUCAUGAUUCGCACCUAUAAUUUUUCAUUAAAUGACCUCAACUCAGGUAAGAAUACCCGC